CCUGGCUUUGCUAAGUCUGAGUUAAUGAAGAGCUUUGGCUAUCCUCAAAGCUCUCUAUGAUUGAAGUAUUUUCAAGUGAUGGUAUGGUGACACCUCUAACUGCAAAUUGAUGGUAGUAUCUCCAAGGGUCUAAAUGGUGCUACUUCAAGGCAUCUUUAGAUCACAAACAUUGGUAAUAUCUAGGGACAACAUUACUAUAGACUCACUACACAAUAAGAUACCU
rnacentral:lncRNA from 1 species